rfam:Heligmosomoides polygyrus genome assembly, scaffold: HPBE_scaffold0000114
GAGCCGGUGGUGUAAGGCGAACAUCGCUGCCCGGAAAGCAGAAGAUGCGGGUUCGAGUCCCGCCUGGCGCA